AUGGAAACACAGCCGCAGCCAAAGGGAACCUGGGUGAAUUUUAUGAAGACAGACGGCUCAUUCCAUUGUGUCUUCCAACGAAGCAAGUUGAUUUUCUCCCUGAUGGGCUGAAGAAAUGCAGGCUGUCCUGGUCAAUGAGGCCUGCCUUCUCUGUGAUGUUCAGACAUUUUCUGAGAAAUUGCCAUGGCAAAAAAAAAUUGCCAUGGCAAGUAUCUCUCCUCUCCUCCUCCUCCUUUUCUCUCCCUGCAGAGAAUAUCCUAUUGUUUGUGAAAGAUAUGGAAAGUAGCCCUGUGUUCAAGGGUUCAAGGAAUUGGAAUGAAGGAAAUGUUGGUUUUGGCACUAACAUCAGUGUGAGAUCAGGAGAACCAGACUUUGCACACAUCAUCUGUUCAUUUCUGGAUUACAAAAUAUAUACAAAGAGAUGCAGAAGUCUGUUUCCUCUGCAUAAGUGGGCCUGGCAGCAUUCAUAAUUAUCCCAU